CAAGUCGAGCGGAUGAGAGGAGCUUGCUCUUCGAUUCAGCGGCGGACGGGUGAGUAAUGCCUAGGAAUCUGCCUAGUAGUGGGGGACAACGUUUCGAAAGGAACGCUAAUACCGCAUACGUCCUACGGGAGAAAGUGGGGGAUCUUCGGACCUCACGCUAUUAGAUGAGCCUAGGUCGGAUUAGCUAGUUGGUAGGGUAAAGGCCUACCAAGGCGACGAUCCGUAACUGGUCUGAGAGGAUGAUCAGUCACACUGGAACUGAGACACGGUCCAGACUCCUACGGGAGGCAGCAGUGGGGAAUAUUGGACAAUGGGCGAAAGCCUGAUCCAGCCAUGCCGCGUGUGUGAAGAAGGCCUUCGGGUCGUAAAGCACUUUAAGUUGGGAGGAAGGGCUCAUAGCGAAUACCUGUGAGUUUUGACGUUACCAACAGAAUAAGCACCGGCUAACUUCGUGCCAGCAGCCGCGGUAAUACGAAGGGUGCAAGCGUUAAUCGGAAUUACUGGGCGUAAAGCGCGCGUAGGUGGCUUGAUAAGUUGGAUGUGAAAUCCCCGGGCUCAACCUGGGAACUGCAUCCAAAACUGUCUGGCUAGAGUGCGGUAGAGGGUAGUGGAAUUUCCAGUGUAGCGGUGAAAUGCGUAGAUAUUGGAAGGAACACCAGUGGCGAAGGCGACUACCUGGACUGACACUGACACUGAGGUGCGAAAGCGUGU
rnacentral:rRNA from 1 species